rnacentral:lncRNA from 1 species
GGUCAUUAAUUUUUAACAAAAGACUUUGGUUGAUACAAAAUGAAACGUAAGUCAAUUUAAAAACAAUUUAUGUCAGGCCUGAUUUUCAAAUAUUCAAGAAAACUUAAAAAUAACACUAUUUACAAAUAAAAGUUUGUAAACUAAGUUUUAGUACAUCUUAAACCUCAAAAGAAACCAUAAGCGGAAGCAAAAUGACACAUUUCCUAUGGCAAUCACGCUUCCUUCCUGCCCCUCGCCGUUUGCCACCUUUAUAUAUAUUUUACCUUUGGGACUUUACAUUCUUCCCCUUAAGAAACUUUCGUCCUCGAAAGUUCUAAUCCUGAAAUAACUCUGAAUAACGAGUCUCAUCUCUUCUUCUCGCUCCCAUGUCGCCUCUUCAAUUCGAUGAUCCACAAAACCUUUACUAAUGGAAUGCUUCUAUUACGAAGCAUCUUUACCUCUCUAGCCAGAAUCUCCACAGGUUGUUCUACAUAGCUCAAAUGCUCAUCAAUCUCCAAGGGUUCAUAGUCUACUACAUGAGAUGUAUCGGCCACAUACUUCCUCACAUCGAAACAUGGAAAACAUUAUGAACUGCAGAGAGAGAUGGUGGUAAUGCCAAGCGAUACGCCACAACACCAACCCUCUCUAAGAUCUCAAAUGGUCCAACAAACGAGGACUUAACUUUCCUUUCUUCUCAAAACGCAUAACACCCUUCAUAGGUGCUACCUUCAAGAAUACCUUUUCUCCCACAUCGAACUUAAGGUCUUUGCGCCGUACAUCCGCAUAAAACUCUUCUGUCUACUCUGCGCUGUUUGCAUAAGUGCUCUAAUCUUUUGAAUAGCCUCAUUAGUAGACCGAACUAAUUCAGGUCCCAUCAAUCUAUGUUCACCAACCUCACUCCAACAAAACAGGGGUUCUACAACAUUUGCCAUACAAAGCCUCAAAUGGUGCUAUACCGAUGGUAGCCUGAAAACUGUUGUUAUAAGCAAACUCCAUCAAAUGUAGAUGAGAGUCCCAACUACCUGGAAACUCUAUAACACAAGCUCGUAGCAUAUCCUCUAAAACUUGGUUCAAACGUUCAGUUUGACCAUCAGUCUGUGGAUGAAAAGCUGUACUGAAAUCCAACCUCGUACCCAUAGCAGUCUGAAGUCCCUUCCAAAACUUGGAAGUAAACCGUGCAUCCCUAUCAGAAACAAUCGAUACAGGCACUCCAUGAAGUCUCACAAUCUCAGUUAAAUACAACUCUGCCACUUACUAGCAGUAUAAGUGGAUUUCCCUGGUACAAAAUGUGCGAUUUCGUAAGCCUGUCUAUGACAACCAAAAUCACUGUGAAACCCUUCAGGGUCUUAGGCAGCCCUGAAAUAAAAUUCAUCGACACAUUCUCCCACUUCCACUCUGGCACACUUAAGGGUUGUAAGAACCUGCUGGUUUCUGUCUAGGUGCCUUAACUUGCUGACAUACUAGACACUUACUAACAAAUUCCGCCACUUCCCUUUUCAUAUUCCGCCACCAAUAAAAUCGUUUUAGAUCCUGAUACAUUUUCGUGCUACCAGAAUGCAUUGAAAAUGGGGAAUUAUGGGCUUCAUCUAGUAAGUCAAUCUUAACUGUACUGUUCGCUGGCACACACAAACGUCUUUCAAACAUCAACCCACCAUCAGAGGAUAUGGAGAACUCAUCAGUCUGCCCUGUUUCAACAAGGCGACGUCUCUCCAUCAAAUAAGGAUCACUACUCUGAGCAUCAACAAUCUUCUGCCUCAGAGUCGGUUGCACUGUUAAUUGAGCCAGCUGUGAGGUGACUCUCCCCACAGACACUGCAAUCUCAGCUCUCUCCAAGUCUCGAUGCAAUGGUACCUGUCUAGUAAUGAGUGCUGCCGAAUGUGAUACUUUUCUACUAAGAGCAUCAGCCACCACAUUCGCCUUACCAGGAUGGUACAAUAUCUCACAGUCAUAAUCUUUACCAACUCGAGCCACCUUCGCUGUCUCAUAUUCAACUCCUUCUGAGUGAGGAAGUACUUUAGGCUCUUAUGGUCAGUAAAGAUUUGUAUCUUUUCACCGUACAAGUAAUGUCUCCAUAUCUUCAAUGCAAAAACCACUGCUGCCAACUCCAAAUCAUGUGUGGGGUAGUUCUGCUCGUGACUCUUCAACUGACGAGAGGCAUAAGCAACCACCUUACCUUUCUGCAUCAAAACACAACCCAGUCCUUUCUUGGAAGCAUCACUGUAAAUCACAAAACUUCCAGAUCCAUCUGGUACAGUAAGGACCGGUGCAGUAACUAACCUUUGCUUUAAGUUCUGAAAAUUGUCCUCGCAAGCUGGACUCCAAACAAAGAGUUCCCUUCCUUGUCAACUGAGCCAAGGAGUAGCCAAACAUGAAAAAUCCUCCACAAACCUCCGGUAGUACCCUGCUAAACCAGAAAACUACGAACUCACCAACUGUAGAGGGUCGAGACCAACUGGUAACCGCUUCUAUCUUUGCAGGGUCUACUGAAACUCCCUCACUGGAAACCACAUGACCAAGAAAGCCACCUGCUUCAACCAAAAUUUGCACUUAGAGAACUUAGCAUACAGUUUAUUGACUCGAAGAGUCUCUAACACCUUAUGUAGUGUUCCUCAUGUUCGCUUCAGUCUUGGAAUAAACCAAAAUAUCAUCAAUGAAGACUAUCACAAAAGUAUCCAAGAAAUCCUUAAACACUAUGUUCAUCAAAUCCAUAAAUACAGCAGGUGCAUUAGUCAAACCAAAAGACAUUACUAUGAAUUCAUAAUGUCCAUACCUCGAACGAAAAGAAGUCUUAGGAAUAUCACGGUCUCUAAUCCUCAACUGGUGAUAACCUGACCGUAAGUCAAUCUUAGAGAACACCGUGGCUCCCUGUAACUGAUCGAACAAAUCAUCGAUUCUGGGUAAAGGAUAUCUGUUCUUGACUGUUGCUUUAUUCAACUCUCUAUAGUCAAUGCAAAGACGCAUCAACCCAUCCUUCUUCUUCACAAACAAUACUGGUGCACCCCAAGGUGACACACUAGGUCGAAUAAAGCCUUUGUCAAGCAAUUCCUGUAACUGUACCUUCAGUUCUUUCAACUCAGCAGGAGCCAUCCUAUAAGGGGCUCUAGAAAUAGGAGUAGUGUUUGGCUCCAACUCAAUGGCAAAAUCAACCUCUCUAUGUGGCGGUAGUCCUGGAAGAUCUUUUGGAAACACAUCUGGGUAUUCUCUGUUUGGCUUUUUGGCCCUUAAUCUCAAAUUAAUUUAUUUUAAUUAUUCAAUUAAUUUAUGUUUUGAUGAUAACAAAUCUGAUUUUUUUAUUGACAAUUUUAUUAAUUUGAAUAGACCAUAUCGUAGAGCUUGGAAAAAUGAUUCUAACGCCUCUUGAAUCACCCAAAUCGAAGUUCAAAUGAAGAAAAUAUUGCUAAAAGAAGCUUAACGAAAAAAUACCCGAGAUGGUGACGUGGCGACCAAGCAUUCAAUUUGAACCAAUUAGAGAAAGCCACUUGGAGCAAUGAAGGAGUAACAAAUGUGGCUUUUUGUUAUGUUUUAUUGGCUUUUAUAAAGAAAAUGAAUUUAAAAGAAAAUGAUUUUAAUAUUAUUAUUUUUUCUUGUGUCUAACGGCUAGUUUUUUUAAAAGAGGGUGAAGUUGCUUUAUUGAUUUCUUUUUAAACAAAAUAUUUUGAAAAGACAUAUUAUUAUAUUAUUAUUUGUAUUGUGUCUAACGGCUAAUUAAGUUUAAAUCUCAACCAUUCAUUUUUCUUUUACUUAUAUCUAAUGACCCAAAUGAUUUUGAAUUUAUCUUUCCUCUCUUUUUAAAUACUUCACAUUUACACAAGAUCACAAAUCUUUACAAUCCUCAAGCAAAAAGCCAACAUUGUUAUUCUCUCUAAAGCUUCCAAUUUUUAUUCUUUUCAUCUUAUUCUUGAGAGCUUCUUAUUGUAUUGUGAGGAUUAAAUUUGUGAGCUUCAAAUUGUAUACUCACUCUUUUAGAGAGUUUUCUUUUGUGUGAUUUAAAAAUUUCAACAUAUUGUAACGGUUGGAUCCUAACCCGUGGAAAGGAUCGGGUUUGCUCUUGAACCCGAAAAAGGAGCAAGAAUCGGUUCGGCUCAAAUCCGUGGAAAGAGUCCAAAGAAGAUUUUCAAUCAAAAUCCCAAGGGUGCUUGGGAAAGUGGAUGUAGGUUGAGUUUAACCGAACCACUAUAAAAUUACGGUGUCUUCUUCUCUAACUCUUUUCUAAUUAUUUUUUAAUUUAAUUUUAGUUACAUAUUCUUAUUGGUUGAGUUUGAUUGCAUACUUCCAUUCAUAUCUUUUUAUCAAUCUUGUUAUUUAACAAAGUUUACAAAGUUCUUUAUUUAAAUUUAGAAAAUAUCUAAUUAGUUGAUUUUACUUUUUAUUUGUCAAAAAGUUUAUUUAAACCCUAUUCACCCCCCUCUAGGGUUGCCAUACCGAUCCAACAAUUGGUAUCAGAGCAGGUUGCUCAUCUUGAAAUUUUAAUUUCUUGAUAAACUUUAUUGUUAGAGCAUUAUGGCAAACCUAUUGGCAAAUGGUAUUGUUGAAGGUCAAUCUACUUCUAGACCUCCUUAUUUUGAUGGUUCAAAUUAUGCAUAUUGGAAAGCUAGAAUGAAAAUUUAUUUGCAAUCUAUUGACUAUAAUUUGUGGUUAAUUGUUGCUAAAGGUCCUUAUGUACCCAUGAAAAAUGUUGAUAAUGUUGAUACGCCUAAAUUAGAAGAAGAGUAUGAUGAAAAUGAAAUGAAAAAGUGUUCAUUUAAUGCUAAGGCUAUUAAUGUUUGUAUUGUGCCUUGAGUAAAGAUGAAUUUAAUAGAAUAUCCAUGUGUUCUUCCGCUCAAGAAAUUUGGAAUACUCUUGAAAUUACUCAUGAAGGAACAAAUCAAGUUAAAGAGUCUAAAAUUAGCAUGUUUGUUCAUAAUUAUGAAUUGUUUAAGAUGGAUGCUAAUGAGACUAUCACCGAUAUGUUUACUAGAUUUACUAACAUCAUAAAUGCUUUGAAGGGUCUUGGUAAAGUUUAUACAACUUCCGAAAAUGUUAGAAAAAUUCUAAGGUCUCUACCUAAGACUUGGGAAGCUAAGGUAACGGCGAUUCAAGAAGCAAAGGAUCUCACCAAACUUCCACUAGAGGAGCUUAUUGGCUCACUCAUGACUCAUGAGAUCAUCAUGAAGGAGCACUUGGAGGAUGAGUCCAAAAAGAAGAAGAGCAUUGCAUUAAAGACUAUCUCCUUGGAAGUUGAUCCCGAAGAUGAGGAUGGCCUUGAUGAAGAUGACAUUGCUUAUUUCUCACGUAAGUACAAAAAUUUCAUAAAAAGAAAGAAAUAUUUCAAGAAACACCUAUCAACCCAAAAAGAGUCAAAAGGUGAGAAAAGCAAAAAGGAUGAGGUGAUUUGUUAUGAAUGCAAAAGAUCGGGUCAUAUAAGAACGGAUUGUCCUCUCCUCAAAUCAUCUAAGAAAUCCAAGAAGAAGGCAAUGAAGGCUACAUGGGAUGAUAGUAGUGAAAGUGAAAGUGAAGUUGAAGAAAUGGCAAAUCUUGGUCUCAUGGCUCAUAGUGACAAAGAUGAUGAACAUGAUGAUAAGGUAACUCUAGAACCUCUUUCUAUUGAUGAAUUAUUUGAAAAUUUUGAAAGCAUGCAAAAUGACCUAGAAAAACUUAGUUCUAAGUAUGUUGUGCUUAAGAAGAAAUACAAUGUUUUAAUUAGUGAAAAUAAGUCUUUACUUGAUACAAUUGCUUGCUUUAAAGAGAAUGAAAAUUUUGAGCAAAUUGAAGAAUUGAAUGUCUCUAGUGAUAAGCAUGUUUGUAUUGAGAAAGAUGCUUUGCUUGAUAAAGUUAGAUUUCUUGAGCAUGAUAGUUGUGAAAAAGAUAACUUGAUUAAAGUGCUUAAAGAAAAUGAACUAAGUGUUUUACAAGAACUUGAUAAAGCUAAAGAAACUAUUAAAAAGUUGACAAUAGGUGCUCAAAGAUUGGACAAAAUUAUUGAAGUAGGAAAAUCUUAUGGUGAUAAGAGAGGUUUAGGCUAUAUUGAUGAAUCAUCUACUCCUUCAAGUUCUAAAACUACAUUCGUUAAAGCAUCACCUAUUGUGCCUAAGUUUAACAUGUCUAAUCAUGUGUCUAAUCAUGUUAAAUCUAGUUUUGUACCCAUAUGUCAUAAUUGUGGUGUUGAAGGUCACAUUAGACCUAAAUGCUUUAAAUUGAAGUAUGCUCAAAAUACUUAUUCAAGAAGAAAUUUUUCGCAAAGAGCAAAGUUUUACAUUGCUCCAAGGAAGAAUUUCUCCAAUAAAAGUAGAGUACAUAAAUUUGUUAUGAAAAAUAAAUCUUUGCAUAAUGUUGUUUGUUUUUCUUGUGGCAAGUAUGGACAUAAAGCUUAUUCUUGUUACCUAUCUAGAUCUAGUGCUUGUAAUGUCUAUGAAAAAAUGAAAUGGAUCCCUAAAUAUGUAAAUGCUAACAUUCUAGGACCCAAACAAGUAUGGGUACCAAAGGAUCAAACUUGAAAUUAGUUGUUUUUAGGUUUGUUUGAAAGCCUCCAAGAAAAACAAAUGGUACUUGGAUAGUGGUUGCUCAAGACACAUGACGGGAGACCGAUCCAAGCUUAUCUCUUUCUCCAAAAAGAAUGGAGGCAUGGUAACCUUUGGUGACAACAAGAAAGGUAAAAUAAUUGGUAAGGGUAAUAUAGGAAAUGAUUCAUCUACUUUGAUUGAAAAUGUUCAUUUGGUUGAUGGUUUAAAGCAUGAUUUGCUUAGUAUUAGUCAAUUGUGUGAUAAAGGAUUUAGAGUAAUAUUUGAUAAAAAAAUUGCAUAAUUGAAAAUGUUAGUGAUAGAAAAGUUUUGUUUGUUGGAAAUAGGGAUGAAAAUGUGUACACUCUUGAUUUGAAUGAUUAUCCUAUUAUUGAUAAAUGUCUUUCGGUUUUGCAUAAUGAUUCUUGGUUAUGGCAUAGAAGACUAGGACAUGCUAGCAUGCACUUAAUUUCAAAUAUUUCUAAAAAUUGUUUGGUUAGAGGUCUUCCUAGUUUUAAAUUUGAAAAAGACAAAGUUUGUGAUGCUUGUCAAAUGGGUAAGCAAACUAAGUCCUCUUUCAAAUCUAAAAAUGUGAUCUCUACUACUAGACCCUUACAACUAUUACACAUGGACUUAUUUGGCCCUUCUAGAAUUGCUAGCUAUGGAGGAAAUUAUUAUGCUUUUGUGAUAGUUGAUGAUUUUUCUAGAUUUACUUGGGUUUUGAUGAUAAAACAUAAGGAUGAUGCUUUGAAAAGUUUUAUUAGUUUUGCAAAAAGAGUACAAAAUGAAAAAGGAUUUUUUAUUUCCAAAAUUAGGAGUGAUCACGGAGGAGAAUUUGAUAAUGAUGCUUUUAAAGCUUUUUGUGAAGAAAAUGGUUUUUCCCAUAAUUUUUCCUCUCCAAGAACUCCUCAACAAAAUGGUGUAGUUGAAAGGAAAAAUCGUACUUUGCAAGAAUUUGCUAGAUCAAUGUUGAAUGAGUAUGGUUUACCUAAAUAUUUUUGGGCGGAAGCCGUUAACACCGCUUGCUAUGUUUCAAAUAGAGUUUUAGUUAGACCAUCUUUAGAUAAAACUCCUUAUGAACUUUGGCAUGGAAAAAUUCCAAAUAUUGGGUAUUUCAAAGUUUUCGGUUGUAAAUGUUUUAUUUUGAAUAACAAAGAAAAACUUGGAAAAUUUGAUUCUAAGACGGAUGUUGGUAUUUUUCUAGGAUAUUCCUCUACUAGUAAAGCUUAUAGAGUUUUCAAUAAGAAAACUUUAGUUAUUGAGGAAUCUAUUCAUGUUGUAUUUGAUGAAUCUUGGAAUAAUGUUUCUAAUGAGUCUAUUUGUAGUGAUGAUUUAGAAAAAGAUUUUGGAGAUUUACUUGUUAAUGACAAAGGCAAAGAAAUUGUUCCAAGUAUGCAAGAUGUGAACAUCAUAGAGAAGAAAGAAGAGGGUUCUUCAUCCUUGCCUAAAGAGUGGAGAUAUGCUCUAUCCCAUCCCAAGGAUCUAAUUCUUGGCAAUCCCGAACAAGGUGUCAAAACUCGUUCUUCUCUUAAUUUAUUUAGUAAUCUUGCUUUUGUGUCUCAAAUUGAACCUAGAAGUUUUAAAGAUGCCGAAUGUGAUGAGUUUUGGAUUUUAGCUAUGCAAGAAGAAUUAAAUCAAUUUGAAAGAAACAAAGUUUGGAAAUUAGUCCCUAGGCCUUCUAAUGCAUCUAUAAUCGGAACUAAAUGGGUUUUUAGAAAUAAGAUGGAUGAAAAUGGAAAUAUCAUUAGAAAUAAAGCUAGACUUGUAGCUCAAGGUUAUUGUCAAGAAGAAGGUAUAGAUUAUGAAGAACUUUUGCACCGGUUGCUAGAUUAGAAGCUAUUAGAAUGUUGCUUGCUUUUGCUUCUUAUAAAAAUUUCAUUUUGUAUCAAAUGGAUGUAAAAAGUGCUUUUUUAAACGGUUAUAUUGUGGAGGAAGUUUACGUAGAACAACCUCCGGGCUUUGAAAGUUUUGAUUUACCUAAUCAUGUUUAUAAGUUGAAAAAGGCUCUUUAUGGCUUAAAACAAGCUCCAAGAGCUUGGUAUGAUAGACUUAGCAAGUUUUUACUUGAGAAUGACUUUAAGAUGGGAAAAAUUGAUAAUACUCUAUUUAUUAAAGUUAAAAAUAAUGACAUGCUUAUAGUACAAAUUUAUGUGGAUGAUAUUAUAUUUGGUUCUACUAAUUCAUCUUUGUGUGAAGAAUUUUCCAAGUGUAUGCAUAAUGAGUUUGAGAUGAGUAUGAUGGGAGAACUUAGUUUCUUCCUUGGUCUUCAAAUCAAACAACUCAAGGAUGGCAUCUUCAUAAGUCAAGAAAAAUACACAAGGGAUUUGCUCAAGAAAUUCAAAUUAAAUGAAGGUAAAGUUGCAAAAACUCCUAUGAGCACUACCACUAAGCUUGACAAAGAUGAAAAAGGUAAGUGUGUGGAUAUAAAGACUUAUCGAGGUAUGAUUGGAUCUUUACUUUAUUUGACCGCUAGUAGACCCGAUAUCAUGUUUAGUGUAUGUCUUUGUGCUAGAUUUCAAUCUUGUCCUAAAGAAUCACAUUUCCAUGCUGUUAAAAGGAUACUUAAAUAUUUGCUUGGAACUAUUGAUGUUGGAUUAUGGUAUCCUAGAAAUGUUGAGUUUAAUUUGGUAGGAUAUUCCGAUGCGGACUUUGCCGGUAGUUUACUUGACCGUAAAAGUACUAGUGGGACUUGUCAAUUUCUUGGUAGUUCCUUAGUAUCUUGGUUUAGUAAAAAGCAAAAUUCGGUUGCCUUAUCCACUACCGAAGCGGAAUAUAUUGCGGUUGCUAGUUGUUGUGCACAAAUUCUUUGGAUGAAACAAACUCUUUGUGAUUUUGGAUUAAAAUUUGAUAAUGUGCCUAUAUUUUGUGAUAAUACUAGUGCCAUAAAUUUGACUAAGAAUCCUAUUCAUCAUUCUAGAACUAAGCAUAUAGAUAUUAGGCAUCACUUUAUUAGAGAGCAUGUACAAAAUGGUCAUAUUACUCUUGAGUUUGUAAGUUCCAAUAAUCAAUUAGCGGAUAUAUUUACCAAACCUUUGAGUGAAGAAAGCUUUUGUAAAAAUAGGCUUGAGCUUGGAAUUAUUCGUUGUGGCAUCUUGAUUUUAUAUCUUACUUGAUAUUGUUACCGUAAUGCAUAUUGAUAGGGGGAGAAUUAGACAUUUUGUAUGUGUUCAUGUUUUUUUGGGAGCUAACUUCAUUGGUAUUGUUUUUGAUGAUUCCAAAGGGGGAGAAGUAUAAGAAAAAUAUGUUUUUAUCAAUUUGUUGCAUAAUUGUUUCUAUUGAAUAAUGCAUAUUUUUUUAGAGAAAAAAAUUAAUUAAGGACAAAAAGGUUCUCUUAUCAAUUGUUUUCAAGUAUGUUCUUUGUGGUGAAAUAUAUACAUGAGCUUUAUGGUUAUACAUCUUGAUAAUAGAAUUACUUGUUGAUCAUGUGUGUUUCAAGUUAUUUUUCUUCAAAUGAUUUGUCAUCAUCAAAAAGGGGGAGAUUGUUGGCUUUUUGGCCCUUAAUCUCAAAUUAAUUUAUUUUUAAUUAUUCAAUUAAUUUAUGUUUUGAUGAUAACAAAUCUGACUUUUUUUAUUGACAAUUUUAUUAAUUUGAAUAGACCAUAUCGUAGAGCUUGGAAAAAUGAUUCUAACGCCUCUUCAAUCACCCAAAUCGAAGUUCAAAUGAAGAAAAUAUUGCUAAAAGAAGGUUAACGGAAAAAUACCCGAGAUGGUGACGUGGCGACCAAGCAUUCAAUUUGAACCAAUUAGAGAAAGUCACUUGGAGCAAUGAAGGAGUAACAAAUGUGGCUUUUUGUUAUGUUUUAUUGGCUUUUAUAAAGAAAAUGAAUUUAAAAGAAAAAUGAUUUUAAUAUUAUUAUUUUUUCUUGUGUCUAACGGCUAGUUUUUUUAAAAGAGGGUGAAGUUGCUUAAUUGAUUUCAUUUUAAACAAAUAUUUUGAAAAGACAUAUUAUUAUAUUAUUAUUUGUAUUGUGUCUAACGGCUAAUUAAGUUUAAAUCUCAACCAUUCAUUUUUCUUUUACUUAUAUCUAAUGACCCAAAUGAUUUUGAAUUUAUCUUUCCUCUCUUUUUAAAUACUUCACAUUUACACAAGAUCACAACAUCUUUACAAUCCUCAAGCAAAAAGCCAACAUUGUUAUUCUCUCUAAAGCUUCCAAUUUUUAUUCUUUUCAUCUUAUUCUUGAGAGCUUCUUAUUGUAUUGUGAGGAUUAAAUUUGUGAGCUUCAAAUUGUAUACUCACUCUUUUAUAGAGUUUUCUUUUGUGUGAUUUAAAAAUUUCAUCAUAUUGUAACGGUUGAUCCUAACCCGUGGAAAGGAUCGGGUUUGCUCUUGAACCCGAAAAAGGAGCAAGAAUCGGUUCGGCUCAAAUCCGUGGAAAGAGUCCAAAGAAGAUUUUUAAUCAAAAUCCCAAGGGGUGCUUGGGAAAGUGGAUGUAGGUUGAGUUUAACCGAACCACUAUAAAAUUACGGUGUCUUCUUCUCUAACUCUUUUCUAAUUAUUUUUUAAUUUAAUUUUAGUUACAUAUUAUUAUUGGUUGAGUUUGAUUGCAUACUUCCAUUCAUAUCUUUUUAUCAAUCUUGUUAUUUAACAAAGUUUACAAAGUUCUUUAUUUAAAUUUUAGAAAAUAUCUAAUUAGUUGAUUUUACUUUUUAUUUGUCAAAAAGUUUAUUUAAACCCUAUUCACCCCCUCUAGGGUUGCCAUACCGAUCCAACAUUCUCUUACCACAGGUUCUGAAGUUAAAGAAGUCUCACCUUCCCUAGUAUCCACCACACUUGCCAAAAUACUCCAAGUACCUGGUUGAGUAGUUUACUAGCUUUCAUAGCUGAGAUUACUUUAGGCAGUACUACUGUUCCUACCCCCUUGAAUUUAAAGCUAGAUGCAGUAGGGGGACUGAACACAACUUCCUUACGAGAACAAUCAAUACUAGCAUGAUUAGUAGCUAGCCAAUCCAUACCUAAAAUUACAUCAAAGUCACGCAUAUCUAAUACCAACAAGGUUACGUCCAGCACACGACCAGCUAUCUCAAUUUCACAUGCUUUAAUCUUUUCCUUAGACAACAUAAUUUCUCCAGACGGUGUAGACACUGACAAAACAUAGUCUAAGGGUUCCACCUCUAAGCAUGCAUGCGUCACAAAAAGCGAUGAAAUAAAUGAAUGAGAAGAUCCCGAGUCAAACAAGGUCAAGGCAAAAUGCCCUAACACUGGUAAUGUACCUGUCACUACUGUGCCGGCCUUCUCUGCCUCUGAUCUAUUAGUGGCAAAGAUUGUACCCCGCUGUGGAGGUCUCUCUCCCUGACUGCUCGAUCCAGCCCAGUAGAUCUCAAGGGACACCUAUCAGCCAUGUGUCCCUCUUGCUUGCACUUAUAACAGACUCUCGUUCCCAUCAAACAACGACCCAGGUGGCGUUUCCCACACGUAUUACAUACUGGCCUCUCUCGAGUAGUGUCUCCUGCACCGCCAGAACUCUGCUGGAAACUGCGAAAAGGAUCGCCUGGUCUCAAGUUCCUCUGAGGAACUCCUACAGUUCUCUGCUCUACUUUUCUCUUUUGACCCGACGACGAUCCCUUAUCAAGCUCCUUGGCUGUCUUCAUCCUUCCCAAUGCUCAUAUCCACUGCCAGACGCAGUGCUUCAGCUUGGGUAGUGGGCUUUAGUGCUCGCACAAAGCCCCUAAUUUCAUCUCUCAAUCCCUUGACGAACCUAUCAGCUCUAGCCUGCUCAUUACUAACAAGCUCAGGGGCAAAACGUGACAGCAUAUCAAACUCCUGGUCGUACUCCUCGACUGUCAUAUAUCCUUGCUUCAACUCCAAGAAUUCCUGGCUUUUGGCGUCUCUAAGGUUAGCCGAGAAAAACUUGGUAUAGAAGCAGUUCUUAAACUGAUCCCAGGUAAUCUGCCUCACAUCUCCACCUAGCAUGCGCAUUGUAGUCCUCCACCAGAUAAUGCCUCUGUCCCUCAGUAGAAAAGCAGCACACUGAACUCUGUGCUCCUCGGGACAUCUCAUGUAAUUAAAUAUGGUUUCCACAGAGGACAACCACAUUUCAGCUUUAGUAGGAUCCUCCAGUGACCCAUCAAACGUCUGAGGGUCAUACUUCCGAAAGUCCCUCAAAUGUUUCGCCUCAGCAGAAAGUUGGUUAGGUAAUUCUUGUGCAGGAGGGGCUGCUGGUGCAGGGGGAACUACAGGUGCAGGUGGAACCGCAGGUGCCUGCUGGUUUUGAGCUAUACUGUCAUAAGUUCUGUAAACCUCUGCUCCAUGUGAGCAGACAGUGCAUCAAACUCAACGUGAGUCACGGGUGCAGCAGGAAUUGCUGUUCAGCUUGACCCUCAGUAGGCUGAUUACGACCUGCUCCUCUACCUCGGCCUCCUGCUCUCUACCUCGGCCUCCUGCUCCUCUACCUACGACCUCCUCUACGUACUUCUUCCCUUGGCGGCAUAAUUCCUAUUAUCCACAACAACACUCUUUAACAAAAUCUUAAUCAUAAACAUAAGCAAGUCUUUAUCGUCAUGCAAUCUAGUUUAAUUUAGGCAAGGUCAUGCAAAUAAACCAUACAUAUAAGCAUCAAGCAUACCUGACGAGAGACGAAGGGUCGCGUUAGCCAUAGGAACACAAAAACAUAGACUUACAUCGUAAGUCAGUCUACAGAACCUAAAACUUAGGCUCUGAUACCAACUGUAACGACCCAACUUUUCUAGGUAAGUCGAGGUCAUUAAUUUUUAACAAAAGACUUUGGUUGAUACAAAAUGAAACGUAAGUCAAUUUAAAAACAAUUUAUGUCAGGCCUGAUUUUCAAAUAUUCAAGAAAACUUAAAAAUAACACUAUUUAAAAUAAAAGUUUGUAAACUAAGUUUUAGUACAUCUUAAACCUCAAAAGAAACCAUAAGCGGAAGCAAAAUGACACAUUUCCUAUGCAAUCACGCUUCCUUCCUGCCCCUCGCCGGUUUGCCACCUUUAUUUCCUUUGCCUGAAAAUUAAACAUAAGAAGGGUGAGUAUAACAAUACUCAGUAAGAGACCCUCUACUGGUCUCGUCAGGGGAAAAUAAAUUGUUAAAGUUCUAUUGGGACACCCUGUACAGUCGCAGUCUUGUGAUCCCGUAGGAUACACAUCUCAGUCUAACGCCCCGAGGAACGUACAUAUCAGUCUAACGCCCCGAGGGACGUACAUAUCAGUCUAACGCCCCGAGGGACGUACAUAUCAGUCUAGUGUUCUGCAGAAACACAUAUCAGUCAAAUGCUCCCGAAGGUGCAAAAUAAAUUGGUGAUCCCGUGGGACACCUACAAGGUAAACAUCCCAAUACAAUCUAACAAUUUAUCCCCUCAUUCCAUUCAAUCCAUCUUUCAGUUACUUCAAAACAUAAAGUUCUUUCUCUCGACGUCCUAACAGUCAACUUAUCUCACUUUAGUCAUAUGUCUGUCAAUAAUAUACUAAUACGUCAGUCAAUCAAACUAUACAGUCAAUACACCCCUCAGUUCACCAGCACAAACCACAGUUCAGUAUAAUCCACAUCCAACCGAAACAAAUUCACUAGUUCACAUCCAAAUCUUUAUACAGCACAAUCUAUUAAUAUCAUCAUGUACACAUAAGCAUAAUUUCAGUCAUUCACAUGUAUACUUUCGGCAAUCCACAUCAAUUCACACAUCAAUGUAUAUAUAUAUAUGUUUCCAGUCAAAUACAACAUACACUAAACAUUUAGUCUGCAACCAAACAUGUACAUCUUAAUCAUCAUCCAUACAGUCCAACACAACUCAAAAACUUUAGGUGAGUCCAGUAGAAAGUCCCUUACCUCAAAGUUGGGGAAGCUCCUUAAUCAACUAACGUCCUCGAAACAAUCCUAAGCACAACAACACAAAAUUCAAUUACUUUCACGAUACAUAUCUCACUUACUUUCCUCAACGUAAGUUCCAACUCACCGAUAUAUUGGCGAACUGAACCCUCAACAAUUCACAAAUUGGUUGUGAAUUUAAGUGAUCCAAAGUUACCUUUCACACCUUCAAGAAUAAUUUAUCAAAUUAGUCAAUUAACCCAUCCGUAACGUUUGAACACCUUGAAAACAUAACAACCCAUACUUAAAUUGUUUUGGAAACGACUACAAUUUCAUGACUUCAAUCUUACCAACAAAACUUCGACAGAGACAGAGACGAUUAGGACGGGGCACGGCGACGCAGAUCUGGGUAACGGCGCAGAGACAGAGGCUGCGCGGCGGUGCUGGGCAGAGGUCACGCAGCGGCUGACGCGUUGCAGCGGCAGUUUUUGGAUCGAAGAAGAAAAGAAAGGGUGGCGGUUGGGUUCGGCUUCGGUGAACGGAGACAGAAAUAGACGAAACCGGUGGACGGCUCGAUCUAGCGGUGCAGAACUGGACAGAGGGUCACACGGCGGUGGGCGGAAGGUCACGCAGCGGCCUUGCUUCGCAACAAAGACGGCGGCCGACGGUUGCAGCUGCGGUUUGGCUUGGCCUGACCGUCGACGUCGAACGAAAGAGGAAGAAAAGAAAAGAAGGGGCGGCGGUUGGACUGCGGCUGCGCACGAACGAAAAGAGAAUAGAUGGGGCGGCGGUUGCUGCGAACGGGAAGGAGAACGCACGGGGAGGAAGGAGAAGAGAGAAAAAAAAGAAAAAGAAAAUAAAAGAAAAAAUAUAUAUAUAUAUAUAAAAAUUAAAAAAAAUGUAUAUAUAUAUAUUUUUACCUUUGGACUUUACAAUAUCACUACAUAGACAGGUGAUGUUAUCAAUAUAUACAUUUAUAUAAAUAUAAUAACACGUAUUUUGUGACACAUAUAUAGUUCAGUUUUUUUCCUUCACGUUUUGUAUCAUUUUCUUUAUAUUUUUCUAUAUUCGAUUAGUAUUUUAUUUGAUUUGUUACAUACAUACUAAUGCAUAUAUUCAAUGAUACAGUAAUUGAAGUUGACAUCAUCCCAUUGAAUGUAAAACGUUCAGUUGGUCAACAAAAAAAUAUUAGAAUUCAUUCUAAAAUGAAGUUUUAAAUGUGGUUGUCAUAAACGAAAGAGAUGCAAGCUUUCCUUAUUGAACUAAUUUUUCUUUCUUAUUAUUAAACUUUUAGUAUGUUGAUUUAUACUUUUAUUUGAAAUAUUCAUAUUUCAGUUUUUAAUUUAGUUAUUUUAUUUCUAUAUUUUUUCAUAAAUUUUCAUCUACGGUACCAAUCAAAGUUUUUCAAUUUAUUAUAUUUAAUAUACUAUCCUUCAUACAUAACCACUCUUGUUUCAAUCACGAGUUAUUAUUUAUUAUGUAUAGAACUUUUUUUAAAAAAUAAUGUAAAUUUUGAAACAUAUGUCAAAAGUAGGUGAAUGCAAAACUAUUGACAAAAAUAGGUGAGUUGAGGUGAAGUUUUGUACCCCUACACAAUUUUCAUGCAGUGGACCCUACAUAGUUUAUUUUUUACUUUAUAUAUAUAUUACAUUGGGCCAACAUUUUUUAUUUUCUCAUUAUUUAUAUACGUGGGUCCCACACACUCUUCUUUUUUUCAUUAGGUGUGUAUAUAUAAAUAAUGACGUAUAUACUAGUACAUGAUACAUAUAUCUUAUGUGAUUUGUACAUAUAUAUACUACUUCAUAUUUUCAAUAGUACAUAAAUGAUGUCAUCUUUGAUGUACUCAAUAUAUCAUAGUAUAUUUCAAAUACAAAAUAUAAAAUUCUUACUAACCUUAAAUGAACAAUAUAUAUUAUGAUAUAUCCUUAUACUGCUGUUUCAAACAUAACUUAUUAUUUAUUACAUAUAAAAUAAAUAUUUGAAAUAAAAUAAAUAAACCAGUUUAACAAAUUGAUUGCAUAACACUUCAUUCAAAAAUAUAUAAUGUAUUGUUUCAUAUACACUAUUCAUAAGUCAAUUUAACAUUCAACCAUUUUUUUCGUAAAUUUCCUGAAUCUUCAAUUCUUUCAUCAAAGUCCCUACAUUACAAACAUAUUCAGUUGAUCUCAACAUUACAUAUUAGUGGUGUUCGCGAUUCGGUUUAAAGCUAAAACCGCAUCGAACCGCAAAAUGAUAAAAAAAAUCUUCAUUGAAACCGAACCGAACCGCUCAUCUAUGCCAAACCGAAUGAAAACCGAACACAUAUACAUAAAUAAAAUCAAAUCAAAAAAACCGAACGGCUUAUACAAAGUUAUAAACAUAGAAAUUUCAAAAUUACAGACAUAGAUGUUUCAAACAUUGAAAUUUGAAAGUCCAACAACACAUAGAAUUUUAAAAUCCACCUAAGAUGAAUAAAAGUCCUACAGUCAUACAAACUUCGUCAAGACAACUUGUCAUUUACGUUUUGAUUAUGUCAUUCUUCUCCUUUUUGUUCCUCUCAUUGAUUUUUGCCUCUAUACCCGUUUGAAGUCUAAAAAAGUCUUAUUAUUAACAUAUAUAUUUAGUUUUUAAAAUAAAGCAAUUCAGUUCGGUUUUAGAAUCGGUUCUUAACAUCUUAAACUGAACCGAACCAAAUUUUAUGUGGUUUUUUUGAAAUAGAAAUCGAAUCGAACCGAACCAUAUGCAUUCGAUUUCGGUUCGAUUAGUGAUUCGAUUCAGUUUUCAACUUCAUUUUGAACACCCCUAUUACAUAUACUAGAGAAUAACAAAUAUUUUAAUGACAUAUAUUACAUAUACUCAUCAUAAUUAUUUCUCAUUCAUGUUCUUGUAAACAUAAACAACUUUCAUAUAUAAUUAAUAUUAUUUCAAACAUAAUGUAUUAUUUACUACGUAAGAUAUGAAUAUUUAAAUAAAAUAAAUAAAUAAAUUGAUAUAAGAACAUUUCACUAAUAAAAUAUACAUUAUAUUAUUCAAUAUAUACUAUAAUUAUAUAAAAUAUAUGAAAAGAAUGCAAAAUAAAAAAGGACAAUUUUUUAAUAAAAUCAUAAAAAGCAAACUAAGGACAAUUUUUAUUAUUAAUAUUACUUUAAUAGAAUUUAAUCCAUAUUUUCAUAGAAUAUUUAAUAAAUGAAAAUCUUAAACGUGGUUCACUUUUCUUUUUAUUUUUAAUAUAUUAUUAAUAAUAAAAAGAGUAAAUUGGUCAUUUUUACUCUAUAUUUGUAUAAAAUAUUAGUCAAUUUAUGAUAUUUUUGAAAAUUUUAAAAAAUUUAUUGCAAUUUUGUAACAUGGUAUACAAUUUGAGUACACUUAGAUAAAAAUUCAAAGAAAAAAAAUAAUUUCACAUUAUAUAAGAUCAAGUCUAAACGGUAUAAAUUGAACCGCUUGUUAAAACCGAAUCAAACCACACCAUUUAUGUACAAAACAAAAAACACAGUUUGUUGCUGUCUCAAAUAGUCCAAACGAAUUUAAAUGGUUCGGUCUAUUUCAGCUUCAGUCUUCUGGAAUUCAAGGAAAUUUUGAUCUUCCAAGUCUUCAAUAUUUCAGAAGACGAUGAUCUCGAAGUUGAUAAGAACUUGCACGUCUUGAGAGCUCUAUAGAAGUUUGAAUCUUCAAUUCUUCAAAGCUUCAGUACUUCAGAGCUUCAUUUCUUCCUUCAACAAAAGAUCUCUCGAAUGAAUGACAAAGGUCUCUACUUAUAGAGAAAAUUGUGGACUUUAUGUGGGCUUGGACCCAUUUGCUUGUUGAGUUGUUGAGCUUGGACUUGGGCUUGGGCCAUUUUUUUAGUGGGCUUAGGCCCCUUUGUUUGGCCUGAUUUUUUAUCAGGGGCUUGAAUUGGGUUGGAAAACUUGACUACCCAAAUCCAAUCAAAUUAUAAUCAUCACAACUUGGGUGCGACGACGUGGUGUAAUUUCAUUGGUUGAAAUUUCUUGCUCAAUAAUUACAUUUAUACUACUCCAUAAUACAUAUAUAUUGUGAUUUGUUACAUAUAUACUACGUGUAAUGCCCCAAAGGUAUAUAUAUUAUAUAUAUAUAUAUAUAUAUAUAUAUAUAUAUAUAUAUAUAUAUAUAUUUUGUAAUUAAUUUAAAUAAAAAGAAAAGAAAAAGAAAUAUAUAUAUUUUGUUUUUCUUUUCCUUUUUCUUUUCUUUCCCUAUUUCUCUUCUCCUCCGUCGUGCGUCGUGCGACCCACCUUCCCCUUCUCUCCGUUCGCGCGCAACCGCCGCCGGCCAUCUCCGUUCCUCUUCUCCUUCCGUUCGUGCCCAGUCCAGAUCUGCGUCGCAGCCCAGCAACCGCCGCCCCUAUUUCCUUCUCUCCGCCGUGCGCCGCGACUCCCACGAUCCUUUCCCUUUCGUUUUCUUCCCGCCGCAGCCCAGCUGCAGCCCGCGCGCCGAUCUGCCGUCUCCAUCGUCGAUUCUGUCUCCGUGGAAGCCGAACCCAACCGCCGUCUCUAUCUCCGUCCGCGAGGCAAGUCGCACGCGCUCACGCCUCAGACGAACAGCCUCGCCGACGCAGGUCACGCCGCAUCGCACGAGUUCGGCUACGUUGUCGGGCUACUCUCGUCCGCGCUAACUGAUGUUGAACGUCCGAACCGUUCUGCCUUCGUCGAUACCGCUGUCCCAUUUACGAAUCGCGGACCUGUUCACGUGCAGAAGUGUUUUGCACGAUGUCUUUUGUGUAGAUCCUGCGGCAACUUCUAUUUAACGUCGAUGGUCAAAGUCUUGUUACAAGAUAUUGGUAAGGAUGAGAUUGUUCGGUAAAAAGGUCUUACAUUUGUAAAUACAUUAAGAUGUGAUGUUGUUUAAUUGGUUGAAUUGAUCUUUGUUCUUGAAGGCGACAUCGGUGAUUUGGAGUUAGUGUCCUUGAGUUACGCCUUAAGCUUUGUUGGAGUUCGAUUCUUUACUCUUGGGGUUUGUUUGUUGAAGUUAGUUCGACUAAGGAAUUUUACAUAAAGAUCCAGGUAAGGGAUUUUCUACUGGACUCAAUUGUGAUUGUGAACUGUGAUUGUGAGCUGUAUGUGUGUUGAAUGUAUACUGUGGGUUGACUGAAAAUAUAUAUGAAUGUAUAUGAAUUGAAGUAGACUUGACGUCGAAUGUAUGUCGUGAUUGUCAUGGAAUCUAUAUAUAAAUGUGUGUAUGUGGACAGGACGGAGAUUGUAGAUUGUGUUUGUAUGAGAUUCUCGUUUAGAUUGGGUGUAUGAUUACGCUAAAGUAUGACUGUGUGCUGGUGAACUGAGGGGUGCAUUGACUGUAUAGUGGAUUGACUGAUGUAUUAGCAUAUUAUUGACAGACAUAUGACUGUAGUAAAAUAAGUUGACUGUUAGGAUGUUGAAAGAAAGAACUUUGUGACUUGAAGUAACUGAAAGAUGGGUUGAAUGGAAUGAGGGGAAAAUUGUUAGAUUGUAUUGGAUGUUUACCUUGUAGGUGUCCCACGGGAUCACCAAUUUAUUGUGCACCUUCGGGAGCAUUAGACUGAUAUGUGUUUCUGCAGAACACUAGACUGUAUGUACGUCCCUCGGGGUGUUAGACUGAUAUGUACGUCCUCGGGGCGUUAGACUGAGAUGUGUAUCCUACGGGAUCACAAGACUGCGACUGUACAAGGUGUCCCAAUAGAACUUUAACAAUUUAUUUUCCCCUGACGAGACCAGUAGAGGGUCUCUUACUGAGUAUUUAAAUACUCACCCUCUUAUGUUUAAUUUUCAGGCAAAGGUAAUAAAGGCGGCAAACAGGCGAGGGGCAGGAAGGAACGUGAUGCCAUAGGAAACGUGUUUUUUUCCGCUUAGGUUCUUGUGAGGUUUAAAAUGAAUUGAAAUUUAGUUUACAAACGUUUGUUGUAAAUAGUAUUAUUUUAUGUUUUCUUGAAUGUUUAAAAAUCAGGCCUGACUUGAAAUGUUUUUUUUAAUUGUUUACGUUUUGUUUUAUAUUAAUCAAAGUCUUUAUUUGUUAAAAUUUACGAUCUCGACUUACUUAGAAAAGUUGGGUCGUUACACUACCUCAUUAUCUAAUAUUGCUUAGAGAUAUAUACAAUCAGACAUAUAUAGUGACAUACAAUAAUCGAAAAUAUUUUUCAAUUCAAUCUGUUCUUUAUUUUUUUGUUUAUCUUAUAGUAAUAUUAUGUUGUUAGUCAUAUAAACAUUUAUAUCUUAAGUAUGUUGUAACAACAUGUAGUAAACUAUAUAUUCUAAUAAUUAAUAUUUAAAAUAUAUAUUUAUAUAGUAAAUACUACUAAAACAGUAAAAUACACAUUCUUAGUGUAUAUAUAAUAUGCAGUGAGAAUAUCAUACAUACAUAUUCUCACUUCGUAUAAUUAUAUACCUUCUAUUUGUCAUAUAUUUUUAAAUGAACAAUAUAUACUAUAAUAUACUCGUAAAUUAUAAUAUGUUUAUGAUGUGAUUUAAUAUAUAGAUACACCUUAUUUACAACAUAAAUAUUUAGUGACAUAUAGUUCUACAUAAUUUAUAGUUGAAUUUCAAUAUAUAUCACUACAUAGACAGGUGAUGUUAUCAAUAUAUACAUUUAUAUAAAUAUAAUAACACGUAUUUUGUGACACAUAUAUAGUUCAGUUUUUUUCUUCACGUUUUGUAUCAUUUUCUUUAUAUUUUUCUAUAUUCGAUUAGUAUUUUAUUUGAUUUGUUACAUACAUACUAAUGCAUAUAUUCAAUAAUACAGUAGUUGAAGUUGACAUCAUCCCAUUGAAUGUCAAACGUUCAGUUGGUCAACAAAAAAAUAUUAGAAUUCAUUCUAAAAUGAAGUUUUAAAUGUGGUUGUCAUAAACGAAAGAGAUGCAAGCUUUCCUUAUUGAACUAAUUUUUCUUUCUUAUUAUUAAACUUUUAGUAUGUUGAUUUAUACUUUUAUUUGAAAUAUUCAUAUUUCAGUUUUAAUUUAGUUAUUUUAUUUCUAUAUUUUUUCAUAAAUUUUCAUCUACGGUACCAAUCAAAGUUUUUCAAUUUAUUAUAUUUAAUAUACUAUCCUUCAUACAUAACCACUCUUGUUUCAAUCACGAGUUAUUAUUUAUUAUGUAUAGAACUUUUUUUAAAAAAUAAUGUAAAGUUUGAAACAUAUGUCAAAAGUAGGUGAAUGCAAAACUAUUGACAAAAAUAGAUGAGUUGAGGUGAAGUUUUGUACCCCUACACAAUUUUCAUGCAGUGGACCCUACAUAGUUUAUUUUUUAUUUAUAUAUAUAUAUUACAUUGGGCCAACAUUUUUUAUUUUCUCAUUAUUUAUAUACGUGGGUCCCACACACUCUACUUUUUUUCAUUAGGUGUGUAUAUAUAAAUAAUGACGUAUAUACUAGUACAUGAUACAUAUAUCUUAUGUGAUUUGUUACAUAUAUAUACUACUUCAUAUUUUCAAUAGUACAUAAAUGAUGUCAUCUUUGAUGUACUCAAUAUAUCAUAUAUAUAUUUCAAAUACAAAAUAUAAAAUUCUUACUAACCUUAAAUGAACAAUAUAUAUUAUGAUAUAUCCUUAUACUGCUGUUUCAAACAUAACUUAUUAUUUAUUACAUAUAAAAUAAAUAUUUGAAAUAAAAUAAAUAAACCAGUUUAACAAAUUGAUUGCAUAACAUUUCAUUCAUAAAAUAUAUAAUGUAUUGUUUCAUAUACACUAUUCAUAAGUCAAUUUAACAUUCAACCAUUUUUUUUCAUACAAUUUCCUGAAUCUUCAAUUCUUUCAUCAAAGUCCCUACAUUACAAACAUAUUCAGUUGUCUCAACAUUACAUAUUAGUGGUGUUCGCGGUUCGGUUUGAAGCUAAAACCGCAUCGAACCGCAAAAUGAUAAAAAAAAUCUUCAUUGAAACCGAACCGAACCGCUCAUCUAUGCCAAAGAAAAUCGAACCACAUAUACAUAAAUAAAAUCAAAUCAAAACCGAACGGCUUAUACAAAGUUACAGACAUAGAUGUUUCAAACAUUGAAAUUUGAAAGUCCAACAACACAUAGAAGUUUUAAAAUCCACCUAAGAUGAAUAAAAGUCCUACAGUCAUGCAAACUUCGUCAAGACAACUUGUCAUUUACGUUUUGAUUAUGUCAUUCUUCUCCUUUUCGUUCCUCUCAUUGAUUUUUGCCUCUAUACCCGCUUUGAAGUCUAAAAAAGUCUUAUUAUUAACACAUAUAUAUAUAUAUAUAUAUAUAUAUAUAUAUAUUUAGUUUUUAAAAUAAAGCAAUUCAGUUCGGUUUGAGAAUCGGUUCUUAACAUCUUAAACUGAACCGAACCGAAUUUUAUGUGGUUUUUUUGAAAUAGAAAUCGAAUCGAACCGAACCAUAUGCAUUCGAUUUCGGUUCGAUUAGUGAUUCGAUUCAGUUUUCAACUUCAUUUUGAACACCCCUAUUACAUAUACUAGAGAAUAACAAAUAUUUUAAUGACAUAUAUUACAUAUACUCAUCAUAAUUAUUUCUCAUUCAUGUUCUUGUAAACAUAAACAACUUUCAUAUAUAAUUAAUAUUAUUUCAAACAUAAUGUAUUAUUUACUACGUAAGAUAUGAAUAUUUAAAUAAAAUAAAUAAAUAAAUUGAUAUAAGAACAUUUCACUAAUAAAAUAUACAUUAUAUUAUUCAAUAUAUACUAUAAUUAUAUAAAAUAUAUGAAAAAGAAUGCAAAAUAAAAAAGGACAAUUUUUUAAUAAAAUCAUAAAAGCAAACUAAGGACAAUUUUUAUUAUUAAUAUUACUUUAAUAAAAUUUAAUCCAUAUUUUCAUAGAAUAUUUAAUAAAUGAAAAUCUUAAACGUGGUUCACUUUUCUUUUUAUUUUUAAUAUAUUAUUAAUAAUAAAAAGAGUAAAUUGGUCAUUUUUACUCUAUAUUUGUAUAAAAAUUAGUCAAUUUAUGAUAUUUUUGAAAAUUUUAAAAAAUUUAUUGCAAUUUUGUAACAUGGUAUACAAUUUGAGUACACUUAGAUAAAAAUUCAAAGAAAAAAAAAUAAUUUCACAUUAUAUAAGAUCAUGUCUAAACGGUAUAAAUUGAACCGCUUGUUAAAACCGAAUCAAACCACACCAUUUAUGUACAAAACAAAAACACAGUUUGUUGCUGUCUCAAAUAGUCCAAACCGAAUUUAAAUGGUUCGGUCUAUUUCAGCUUCAGUCUUCUGGAAUUCAAGGAAAUUUUGAUCUUCCAAGUCUUCAAUAUUUCAGAAGACGAUGAUCUCAAAGUUGAUAAUAACUUGCACGUCUUGAGAGCUCUAUAGAAGUUUGAAUCUUCAAUUCUUCAAAGCUUCAGUACUUCAGAGCUUCAUUUCUUCCUUAAACAAAAGAUCUCUCGAAUGAAUGACAAAGGUCUCUACUUAUAGAGAAAAUUUGUUGACUUUAUGUGGGCUUGGACCCAUUUGCUUGUUGAGUUGUUGAGCUUGGACUUGGGCUUGGGCCCAUUUUCUUAGUGGGCUUAGGCCCCUAUGUUUGGCCUGAUUUUUUAUCAGGGGCUUGAAUUGGGUUGGAAAACUUGACUACCCAAAUCAAUCAAAUUAUAAUCAUCACAACUUGGUGCGACGACGUGGUGUAAUUUCAUUGGUUGAAGUUUUUGCUCAACAAUUACAUUUAUACUUCUCCAUAAUACAUAUAUAUUAUGUGAUUUGUUACAUAUAUACUACCUCAUUAUGUAAUAUUUGUAACGACCCAACUUUUCUGGUAAGUCGAGGUCGUUAAUUUUUAACAAAAGACUUUGGUUGAUACAAAAUGAAACGUAAGUCAAUUUAAAAACAAUUUAUGUCAGGCCUGAUUUUCAAAUAUUCAAGAAAACUUAAAAUAACACUAUUUACAAAUAAAAGUUUGUAAAACUAAGUUUUAGUACAUCUUAAACCUCAAAGAAACCAUAAGCGGAAGCAAAAUGACACAUUUCCUAUGGCAAUCACGCUUCCUUCCUGCCCUCGCCGGUUUGCCACCUUUAUUUCCUUUGCCUGAAAAUUAAACAUAAGAAGGGUGAGUAUAACAAUACUCAGUAAGAGACCCUCUACUGGUCUCGUCAGGGGAAAAAAAUUGUUAAAGUUCUAUUGGGACACCCUGUACAGUCGCAGUCUUGUGAUCCCGUAGGAUACACAUUUCAGUCUAACGCCCCGAAGGACGUACAUAUCAGUCUAACGCCCGAGGGACGUGCAUAUCAGUCUAACGCCCGAGGGACGUACAUAUCAGUCUAGUGUUCUGCAGAAACACAUAUCAGUCAAAUGCUCCUGAAGGUGCAAAAUAAAUUGGUGAUCCGUGGGACACCUACAAGGUAAACAUCCCAAUACAAUCUAACAAUUUAUCCCCUCAUUCCAUUCAAUCCAUCUUUCAGUUACUUCAAAACAUAAAGUUCUUUCUCUCAACGUCCUAACAGUCAACUUAUCUCACUUUAGUCAUAUGUCUGUCAAUAAUAUACUAAUAUGUCAGUCAAUCAACUAUACAGUCAAUACACCCCUCAGUUCACCAGCACAAACCACAGUUCAGUAUAAUCCACAUCCAACCGAAAUAAAUUCACUAGUUUACAUCCAAAUCUUUAUACAACACAAUCUAUUAAUAUCAUCAUGUACACAUAAGCAUAAUUUCAGUCAUUCACAUGUAUACUUUCGGCAAUCCACAUCAAUUCACACAUCAAUGUAUAUAUAUAUGUUUCCAGUCAAAUACAACAUACACUAAACAUUUAGUCUGCAACCAAACAUGUACAUCUUAAUCAUCAUCCAUACAGUCCAACACAACUCAAAAACUUUAGGUGAGUCCAGUAGAAAGUCCCUUACCUCAAAGUUGGGGAAGCUUCUUAAUCAACUAACGUCCUCGAAACAAUCCUAAGCACAACAACACAAAACUUCAAUUACUUUCACGAUACAUAUCUCACUUACUUUCCUCAACGUAAGUUCCAACUCACCGAAAUAUUGGCGAACUGAACCCUCAACAAUUCACAAACUGAUUGUGAAUGUAAGGGAGUCUAACGAUACUCCCAACACCUCAACGCACGAAUGUCGAACUCGCAGCAAAAAUCCUAAAUGUGGGUCGGUUAGCGGUCGCGCGACAGUGCUGAAAACAGAGGAGAAAGGAAAGGAAUGGAUGGCGGCUGGCUUGGCUUCGACGGAGACAGGUGUUGCGCGGCGGAACUGGGCAGAGGUCACGCGGCGGCCGACGGUUACAACGGCAGUUGUGGAUCCGAGAAGAGAAGAAAACGACCGGAAAGAAAAAUAGGGGCGGCGGCGGCGGUUGCUGGGCUGCGACGCAGAUCUGGACCGGGCAGCGGCGGAAGAGCAACGGCGCGGUCCUGCUUUGCGAACGGAAAUGGAGACGGCAGAUCGGGCGUUCGGCUUCAGUAGGGAGACGCGACGGUGAGGCUGGGUCUGGAAGGAGCGGAGAGGAGAAGAAAAGAUGGAGAUGACCGGCGGCGGUUGCUGCGCUGCGAACGGGAGAAGGGGAAGGGCGCACGGGAGGAGAAGAGAAGAGAAAAGAAAAAAAGAAAAAGAAAAGAAAAAAAAGAAAAAAAAUAAUAUAUAUACCUUUCCUUCUUUUCUCUUUUUUCUUCGCUCUCUUCUUGGGGCAUUACAAUAUUGCUUAGAGAUAUAUACAAUCAGACAUAUAUAGUGACAUACAAUAAUCGAAAAUAUUUUUCAAUUCAAUCUGUUCUUUAUUUUUUUGUUUAUCUUAUAGUAAUAUUAUGUUGUUAGUCAUAUAAACAUUUAUAUCUUAAGUAUGUUGUAACAACAUUAGUAAACUAUAUAUUAUUAAUAAUUAAUAUUUAAAAUAUAUAUUUAUAUGUAAAUACUACUAAAACAGUAAAAACACAUUCUUAGUGUAUAUAUAAUAUGUAGUGAGAAUAUCAUACAUACAUAUUCUCACUUCGUAUAAUUAUAUACCUUCUAUUUGUCAUAUAUUUUUUAAAUGAACAAUAUAUACUAUAAUAUACUCGUAAAUUAUAAUAUGUUAUGAUGUGAUUUAAUAUAUAAAUACACCUUAUUUACAACAUAAAUAUUUAGUGACAUAUAGUUCUACAUAAUUUUAUAGUUGAAUUUCAAUAUAUAUCACUACAUAGACAGGUUGAUGUUAUCAAUAUACAUUUAUAUAAAUAUAAUAACACGUAUUUGUGACACAUAUAUAGUUCAGUUUUUUUCCUCACGUUUUGUAUCAUUUUCUUUAUAUUUUUCUAUAUUCGAUUAGUAUUUUAUUUGAUUUGUUACAUACAUACUAAUGCAUAUAUUCAAUAAUACAGUAGUUGAAGUUGACAUCAUCCCAUUGAAUGUCAAACGUUCAGUUGGUCAACAAAAAAUAUUAGAAUUCAUUCUAAAAUGAAGUUUUAAAUGUGGUUGUCAUAAACGAAAGAGAUGCAAGCUUCCUUAUUGAACUAAUUUUUCUUUCUUAUAUUAAACUUUUAGUAUGUUGAUUUAUACUUUAUUUGAAAUAUUCAUAUUUCAGUUUUUAAUUUAGUUAUUUUAUUUCUAUAUUUUUCAUAAAUUUUCAUCUACGGUACCAUACAAUUUUUUUCAAUUUAUUAUAUUUAAUAUACUAUUCAUUCAUACAUAACCACUCUUGUUUCAAUCACGAGUUAUUAUUUAUUAUGUAUAGAAUUUUUUAAAAAAUAAUGUAAAUUUUGAAACAUAUGUCAAAAGUAGGUGAAUGCAAAACUAUUGACAAAAAUAGGUGAGUUGAGGUGAAGUUUUGUACCCCUACACAAUUUUCAUGCAGUGGACCCUACAUAGUUUAUUUUUUACUUUAUAUAUAUAUUACAUUGGGCCAACAUUUUUUAUUUUCUCAUUAUUUAUAUACGUGGGUCCCACACACUCUACUUUUUUCAUUAGGUGUGUAUAUAUAAUAAUGACGUAUAUACUAGUACAUGAUACAUAUAUCUUAUGUGAUUUGUUACAUAUAUAUACUACUUCAUAUUUUCAAUAGUACAUAAAUGAUGUCAUCUUUGAUGUACUCAAUAUAUCAUAGUAUAUUUCAAAUACAAAAUAUAAAAUUCUUACUAACCUUAAAUGAACAAUAUAUAUUAUGAUAUAUCCUUAUACUGCUGUUUCAAACAUAACUUAUUAUUAUUAUUACAUAUAAAAUAAAUAUUUGAAAUAAAAUAAAUAAACCAGUUUAACAAAUUGAUUGCAUAACAUUUCAUUCAUAAAAAUAUAUAAUGUAUUGUUUCAUAUACACUAUUCAUAAGUCAAUUUAACAUUCAACCAUUUUUUUUCAUACAAUUUCCUGAAUCUUCAAUUCUUUCAUCAAAGUCCUACAUUACAAACAUAUUCAGUUGAUCUCAACAUUACAUAUUAGUGGUGUUCGCGUUCGGUUUGAAGCUAAAACCGCAUCGAACGCAAAAUGAUAAAAAAAAUCUUCAUUGAAACCGAACCGAACCGCUCAUCUAUGCCAAACCGAAUGAAACCGAACCACAUAUACAUAAAUAAAAUCAAAUCAAAACCGAACGGCUUAUACAAAGUUAUAAACAUAGAAAUUUCAAAUUACAGACAUAGAUGUUUCAAACAUUGAAAUUUGAAAGUCCAACAACACAUAGAAGUUUUAAAAUCCCCCUAAGAUGAAUAAAAGUCCUACAGUCAUGCAAACUUCGUCAAGACAACUUGUCAUUUACGUUUUGAUUAUGUCAUUCUUCUCCUUUUCGUUCCUCUCAUUGAUUUUUGCCUCUAUACCCGCUUUGAAGUCUAAAAAAGUCUUAUUAUUAACACACACAUAUAUAUAUAUAUAUAUAUAUAUAUAUUUAGUUUUUAAAAUAAAGCAAUUCAGUUCGGUUUGAGAAUCGGUUCUUAACAUCUUAAACUGAACCGAACCGAAUUUUAUGUGGUUUUUUUGAAAUAGAAAUCGAAUCGAACCGAACCAUAUGCAUUCGAUUUCGGUUCGAUUAGUGAUUCGAUUCAGUUUUCAACUUCAUUUUGAACACCCCUAUUACAUUACUAGAGAAUAACAAAUUUUUAAUGACAUAUAUUACAUAUACUCAUCAUAAUUAUUUCUCAUUCAUGUUCUUGUAAACAUAAACAACUUUCAUGUAUAAUUAAUAUUAUUUCAAACAUAAUGUAUUAUUUACUAUGUAAGAUAUGAAUAUUUAAAUAAAAUAAAUAAAUAAAUUGAUAUAAGAACAUUUCACUAAUAAAAUAUACAUUAUAUUAUUCAAUAUAUACUAUAAUUAUAUAAAAUAUAUGAAAAAGAAUGCAGAAUAAAAAAGGACAAUUUUUUAAUAAAAUCAUAAAAAGCAAACUAAGGACAAUUUUUAUUAUUAAUAUGUAACGACCCAACUUUUCUAAGUAAGUCGAGGUCGUUAUUAUUUUUACAAAUAAAAGACUUUGAUUAAUAUAAAAAAAACGUAAGCAAUUUAAAAAAAAACAUCUUCAAGUCAGGCCUGAUUUUUAAACAUUCAAGAAAACAUAAAAUAAUACUAUUUACAACAAACGUUUGUAAACUAAAUUUCAAUUCAUUUUAAACCUCACAAGAACCCAUAAGUGGAAGCAAAAACACGUUUCCUAUGCAUCACGCUUCCUUCCUGCCCUCGCCUGUUUGUCGCCUUUAUUACCUUUGCCUGAAAAUUAAACAUAUAUAAGAAGGGUGGGUAUUUAAAUACUCAGUAAGAGACCCUCUACUGGUUUCGUCAGGGGAAAAUAAAUUGUUAAAGUUCUAUUGGGACACCCUGUACAGUCGCAGUCUUGUGAUCCGUAGGAUACACAUCUCAGUCUAAUGCCCCGAGGGACGUACAUAUCAGUCUAACGCCCCAAGGACAUACAUAUCUAGUCUAGUGUUCUGCAGAAACACAUAUCAGUCAAAUGCUCCGAAGGUGCACAAUAAAUUGGUGAUCCCGUGGGACACCUACAAGGUAAACAUCCCAAUACAAUCUAACAAUUUAUCCCCUCAUUCCAUUCAACCCAUCUUUCAGUUACUUCAAGUCACAAAGUUCUUUCUUUCAACAUCCUAACAGUCAACUUAUUUUACUACAGUCAUAUGUCUGUCAAUAAUAUGCUAAUACCGGCGAGGCUGUUCGUGACUAAGGCGUGCGAUUUACCUCGCGAACGGAGAUAAAGACGGCGGCUGGGUUGGCUUCGACGGAGACAGGUGUUGCGCGACAAAACUGGGCAGAGGCGGAAGAGCAAUGGCAGUUACAGGUGGAUGGGCGCGGCGGUUCGAUCCGAAGGAGAAAGAAAACGACCGGAAAGAAAAUAAGGGCGGCGGUUUCUGGGCUACGACGCAGAUCUGGAUCAGACAGUUACGCCGCGGCUGCUGCAAGGCUGCUUCGCGAACGGAGAUGGAGAACGGAGAAGAUGGAUGGGGUCGGGUCGCAAGAAGAUGGGAGAAAAGAAAAGAAAAAGAAAAAGAAGAAAAGAAGAAAAAAAAAUAAAGAAAUUUUUUAAUAUUAAAAUAAAAAUAAUAUAUAUAUAUAUAUAUAAAAAUAUAUAUAUAUAUUUACCUUUUGGGCAUUACAUUCUUCCCUCCUUAAGAAACUUUCGUCCUCGAAAGUUUAAUCCUGAAAUAACUCUGGAUAACGAGUCCUCAUUCUUCCUCUCGCUCCCAUGUCGCCUCUUCAAUUCGAUGAUUCCGCCACAAAACCUUUACUAAUGGAAUGCUUCUAUUACGAAGCAUCUUUACCUCUCUAGCCAGAAUCUCCACAGGUUGUUCUACAUAGCUCAAAUGCUCAUCAAUCUCCAAGGGUUCAUAGUCCACUACAUGAGAUGUAUCGGCCACAUACUUCCUCAACAUCGAACAUGGAAAACAUUAUGAACUGCAGAGAGUGAUGGUGGUAAUGCCAAGCGAUACGCCACAACACCAACCCUCUCUAAGAUCUCAAAUGGUCCAACAAAACGAGGACUUAACUUCCCUUUCUUCUCAAAACGCAUAACACCCUUCAUAGGUGCUACCUUCAAGAAUACCUUUUCUCCCACAUCGAACUUAAGGUCUUUUCGCCGUACAUCUGCAUAACUCUUUGUCUACUCUGCGCUGUUUGCAUACGCGUCUAAUCUUUGAAUAGCCUCAUUAGUAGACCGAACUAAUUCAGGUCCCAUCAACCUAUGUUCACCAACCUCACUCCAACAAACAGGGGUUCUACAACAUUUGCAUACAAAGCCUCAAAUGGUGCCAUACCGAUGGUAGCCUGGAAACUGUUGUUAUAAGCAAACUCCAUCAAAUGUAGAUGAGAGUCCCAACUACCUGGAAACUCUAUAACACAAGCUCGUAGCAUAUCCUCUAAAACUUGGUUCAAACGUUCAGUUUGACCAUCAGUCUGUGGAUGAAAGGCUGUACUGAAAUCCAAUCUCGUACCCAUAGCAGUCUGAAGUCCCUUCCAAAACUUGGAAGUAAACCGUGCAUCCCUAUCAGAAACAAUCGAUACAGGCACUCCAUGCAGUCUCACAAUCUCAGUUAAAUACAACUCUGCCCACUUACUAGCAGUAUAAGUGGAUUUUCCUGGUACAAAAUGUGCCGAUUUCGUAAGCCUGUCUAUGACAACCAAAAUCACUGUGAAACCCUUCAGGGUCUUAGGCAGCCCUGAAAUAAAAUCCAUCGACACAUUCUCCCACUUCCACUCUGGCACACUUAAGGUUGUAACAAACCUGCUGGUUUCUGUCUAGGUGCCUUAACUUGCUGACAUACUAGACACUUACUAACAAAUUCCGCCACUUCCCUUUUCAUAUUCCGCCACCAAUAAAAUCGUUUUAGAUCCUGAUACAUUUUCGUGCUACCAGGAUGCAUGGAAAAUGGGAAUUAUGGGCUUCAUCUAGUAAGUCAAUCUUAACUGUACUGUUCGCUGGCACACAUAAACGUCUCUCAAACAUCAACCCACCAUCAGAGGAUAUGGAGAACUCAUCAGUCUGCCCUGUUUCAACAAGGCGACGUCUCUCCAUCAAAUAAGGAUCAUUACUCUGAGCAUCAACAAUCUUCUGCCUCAGAGUCGGUUGCACCGUUAAUUGAGCUAGCUGUGAGGUGACUCUCCCCACAGACACUGCAAUCUCAGCUCUCUCCAAGUCUCGAUGCAAUGGUACCUGUCUAGUAAUGAGUGCUGCCGAAUGUGAUACUUUUCUACUAAGAGCAUCAGCCACCACAUUCGCCUUACCAGGAUGGUACAAUAUCUCACAGUCAUAAUCUUUUACCAACUCGAGCCACCUUCGCUGUCUCAUAUUCAACUCCUUCUGAGUGAAGAAGUACUUUAGGCUCUUAUGGUCAGUAAAGAUUUGUAUCUUUUCACCGUACAAGUAAUGUCUCCAUAUCUUCAAUGCAAAAACCACUGCUGCCAACUCCAAAUCAUGUGUGGGGUAGUUCUGCUCGUGACUCUUCAACUGACGAGAGGCAUAAGCAACCACCUUACCUUUCUGCAUCAAAACACAACCCAGUCCUUUCUUGGAAGCAUCACUGUAAAUCACAAAACUUCCAGAUCCAUCUGGUACAGUAAGGACCGGUGCAGUAACUAACCUUUGCUUAAGGUUCUGAAAACUAUCCUCACAAGCUGGACUCCAAACAAACGGAGUUCCCUUCCUUGUCAACUGAGUCAAGGAGUAGCCAAACGUGAAAAAUCCUCCACAAACCUCCGGUAGUACCCUGCUAAACCCAGAAAACUACGAACCUCACUAACUGUAGAGGGUCGAGACCAACUGGUAACCGCUUCUAUCUUUGCAGGGUCUACUGAAACUCCCUCACUGGAAACCACAUGACCAAGAAAAGCCACCUGCUUCAACCAAAAUUCGCACUUAGAGAACUUAGCAUACAGUUUAUUGACUCGAAGAGUCUCUAACACCUUAUGUAAGUGUUCCUCAUGUUCGGCUUCAGUCUUGGAAUAAACCAAAAUAUCAUCAAUGAAGACUAUCACAAAAGUGUCCAAGAAAUCCUUAAACACCCUGUUCAUCAAAUCCAUAAAUACAGCAGGUGCAUUAGUCAAACCAAAAGACAUUACUAUGAAUUCAUAAUGUCCAUACCUCGAACGAAAAGCAGUCUUAGGAAUAUCACGGUCUCUAAUCCUCAACUGGUGAUAACCUGACCGUAAGUCAAUCUUAGAGAACACCGUGGCUCCCUGUAACUGAUCGAACAAAUCAUCGAUUCUGGGUAAAGGAUAUCUGUUCUUGACUGUUACUUUAUUCAACUCUCUAUAGUCAAUGCAAAGACGCAUCGACCCAUCCUUCUUCUUCACAAACAAUACUGGUGCACCCCAAGGUGACACACUAGGUCGAAUAAAGCCUUUGUCAAGCAAUUCCUGUAACUGUACCUUCAGUUCUUUCAACUCAGCAGGAGCCAUCCUAUAAGGGGCUCUAGAAAUAGGAGUAGUGUUUGGCUCCAACUCAAUGGCAAAAUCAACCUCUCUAUGUGGCGGUAGUCCUGGAAGAUCUUUUGGAAAUACAUCUGGGUAUUCUCUUACCACAGGUUCUGAAGUUAAAGAAGUCUCACCUUCCCUAGUAUCCACCACACUUGCCAAAAUACUCCAAGUACCCUGGUUGAGUAGUUUACUAGCUUUCAUAGCUGAGAUUACUUUAGGCAGUACUACUGUUCCUACCCCUUGAAUUUAAAGCUAGAUGCAGUAGGGGGACUGAACACAACUUCCUUACGAGAACAAUCAAUACUAGCAUGAUUAGUAGCUAGCCAAUCCAUACCUAAAUUACAUCAAAGUCACGCAUAUCUAAUACCAACAAGGUUACGUCCAGCACACGACCAGCUAUCUCAAUUUCACAUGCUUUAAUCUUUUCCUUAGACAACAUAAUUUCUCCAGACGGUGUAGACACUGACAAAACAUAGUCUAAGGGUUCCACCUCUAAGCAUGCAUGCGUCACAAAAAGCGAUGAAAUAAAUGAAUGAGAAGAUCCCGAGUCAAACAAGGUCAAGGCAAAAUGCCCUAACACUGGUAAUGUACCUGUCACUACUGUGCCGGCCUUCUCUGCCUCUGAUCUAUUAGUGGCAAAGAUUGUACCCCGCUGUGGAGGUCUCUCUCCCUGACUGCUCGAUCCAGCCCCAGUAGAUCUCAAGGGACACCUAUCAGCCAUGUGUCCCUCUUGCUUGCACUUAUAACAGACUCUCGUUCCCAUCAAACAACGACCCAGGUGGCGUUUCCCACACGUAUUACAUACUGGCCUCUCUGAGUAGUGUCUCCUGCACCGCCAGAACUCUGCUGGAAACUGCGAAAAGGAAUCGCCUGGUCUCAAGUUCCUCUGAGGAACUCCUACAGUUCUCUGCUCUACUUUUCUCUUUUGACCCGACGACGAUCCCUUAUAAAGCUCCUUGGCUGUAUUUCAUCCUUCCCAACUCAUAUCCACUGCCAGACGCAGUGCUUCAGCUUGGGUAGUGGGCUUUAGUGCUCGCACAAACCCCUAAUUUCAUCUCUCAAUCCCUUGACGAACCUAUCAGCUCUAGCCUGCUCAUUACUAACAAGCUCAGGGGCAAAACGUGACAGCAUAUCAAACUCCUGGUCGUACUCCUCGACUGUCAUAUAUCCUUGCUUCAACUCCAAGAAUUCCUGGCUUUUGGCGUCUCUAAGGUUAGCCGAGAAAAACUUGGUAUAGAAGCAGUCCUUAAACUGAUCCCAGGUAAUUUGCCUCACAUCUCCACCUAGCAUGCGCAUUGUAGUCCUCCACCAGAUAAUGCCUCUGUCCCUCAGUAGAAAAGCAGCACACUGAACUCUGUGCUCCUCGACAUCUCAUGUAAUUAAAUAUGGUUUCCACAGAGGACAACCACAUUUCAGCUUUAGUAGGAUCCUCCAGUGACCCAUCAAACGUCUGAGGGUCAUACUUCCGAAAGUCCCUCAAAUGUUUCGCCUCAGCAGAAAGUUGGUUGGUAAUUCUUGUGCAGGAGGGGCUGCUGGUGCGGGAACUACAGGUGCAGUGGAACCGCAGGUGCCUGCUGGUUUUGAGCUAUAGCUGUCAUAAGUUCUGUAAACCUCUGCUCCAUGUGAGCAGACAGUGCAUCAAACUCAACGUGAGUCACGGGUGCAGCAGGAAUUCGCUGUUCAGCUUGACCCUCAGUAGGCUGAUUACGACCUGCUCCUCUACCUCGGCCUCCUACUCCUCUACCUCGGCCUCUACGACCUCCUCUACGUACCUUCCCUUGGCGGCAUAAUUCCUAUUAUCCACCAACAACACUCUUUAACAAAAUCUUAAUCAUAACAUAAGCAAGUCUUUAUCGUCAUGCAAUCUAGUUUAAUUUAGGCAAGGUCAUGCAAAUAAACCAUACAUAUAAGCAUCAAGCAUACCUGACGAGAGACGAAGGGUCGCGUUAGCCAUAGGAAACAAAAACAUAGACUUACAUCGUAAGUCAGUCUACAGAACCUAAAACUUAGGCUCUGAUACCAACUGUAACGACCCAACUUUUCUAAGUAAGUCGAGGUCGUUAUUAGUUUUUUACAAAUAAAAGACUUUGAUUAAUAUAAAACAAAACGUAAGCAAUUUAAAAAAAACAUCUUCAAGUCAGGCCUGAUUUUUAAACAUUCAAGAAAACAUAAAAUAAUACUAUUUACAACAAACGUUUGUAAACUAAAUUUCAAUUCAUUUUAAACCUCACAAGAACAUAAGGGAAGCAAAAACACGUUUCCUAUGGCAUCACGCUUCCUUCCUCCCCUCGCCUGUUUGCCGCCUUUAUUACCUUUGCCUGAAAAUUAAACAUAAGAAGGGUGAGUAUUUAAAUACUCAGUAAGAGACCCUCUACUGGUCUCGUCAGGGGAAAAUAAAUUGUUAAAGUUCUAUUGGGACACCCUGUACAGUCGCAGUCUUGUGAUCCCGUAGGAUACACAUCUCAGUCUAACGCCGAGGGACGUACAUAUCAGUCUAGUGUUCUGUAGAAACACAUAUCAGUCAAAUGCUCCCGAAGGUGCACAAUAAAUUGGUGAUCCCGUGGGACACCUACCAGGUAAACAUCCCAAUACAAUCUAACAAUUUUCCCCUCAUUCUAUUCAACCCAUCUUUCAGUUACUUCAAGUCACAAAGUUCUUUCUUUCAACAUCCUAACAGUCAACUUAUUUUACUACAGUCAUAUGUCUGUCAAUAAUAUGCUAAUACAUCAGUCAAUCCACUAUACAGUCAAUGCACCCCUUAGUUCACCAGCACACAGUCAUACUUUAGCGUAAUCAUACACCCAAUCUAAACGAGAAUCUCAUACAAACACAAUCUACAAUCUCCGUCCUGUCCACAUACCCACAUUUAUACAUAGAUUCCAUGACAAUCACGACAUACAUUCAACGUCAAGUCUACUUCAAUUCAUAUAUAUUUUCAGUCAACCCACAGUAUACAUUCAACACACAUACAGUUCACAAUCACAGUUCACAAUCACAAUUGAGUCCAGUAGAAAAUCCUUACCUCGAUUUUAUGUAAAAUUUCUUGGUCGAACUAAUUCCAACAAACAAACCCCAAAGAGUAAAGAAUCGAAUUCCAACAAAGCUUAAGGCGUAACUCAAGGACACUAACUCCAAAUAACCGAUGUCGCCUUCAAGAACAAACAUCAAUUCAACCAAUUAAACAAACAUCACAUCUUAAUGUAUUUACAAAUGUAAAACCUUAUUACCCAACAAUCUCAUCCUUACCAAUAACUUAUAACAAGACUUUGACAAUCGACGUUAAAAUAGAAGUUGCCGCAGCAGGAUCUACACAAAAGAAAUCGUGCAAACAAAUCUGCACGCGAAUCGGUCCACAAUUCGUAAAUGGACAGCGGGUAUCGACGAAGGCAGAAUGGUUCGGACGUUCAACAGCAGUUACGCGCAGACGGGAGUAGCCCGGUAACGUAGCCGAACUCGUGCGAUGCGGCGUGACCUGCGUCGGCGAGGCUGUUUGUGACUGAGGCGUGCGAUUUGCCUCGCGAACGGAGAUAGAGACGGCGGCUGGAUUGGCUUAGACGGAGACAGGUGUUGCGCGGCAAAACUGGGCAGAGGCGGAAGAGCAACGACAGUUACAGGUGGAUGGGCGUGGCGGUUUCGAUCCGAAGGAGAAAGAAAACGACCGGAAAGAAAAUAAGGGCGGCGGUUUCUGGGCUGCGACGCAGAUCUGGAUCAGACAGUUACGCGGCGGCUGCUGCAAGGCUGCUUCGCGAACGGAGAUGGAGAACGGAGUGGAGAAGAUGGAUACGGGUCGCGGUCGCACGGGGAAGAAGAUGGGAGAAAAGAAAAGAAAAAGAAAAGAAGAAAAGAAGAGAAAAAAAAUAAAGAAAUUUUUUAAUAUUAAAAUAAAAGUAAUAUAUAUAUAUAUAUAUAUAUAUUAUAUAUAUAUUAUAUAUAUAUUUACCUUUUCUUUGGGCAUUACAUAAUAUUACUUUAAUAGAAUUUAAUCCAUAUUUUCAUAGAAUAUUUAAUAAAUGAAAAUCUUAAACGUGGUUCACUUUUCUUUUUAUUUUUAAUAUAUUAUUAAUAAUAAAAAGAGUAAAUUGGUCAUUUUUACUCUAUAUUUGUAUAAAAUAUUAGUCAAUUUAUGAUAUUUUUGAAAAUUUUAAAAAAUUUAUUGCAAUUAAUUUGUAACAUGGUAUACAAUUUGAGUACACUUAGAUAAAAAUUCAAAGAAAAAAAAAUAAUUUCACAUUAUAUAAGAUCAAGUCUAAACGGUAUAAAUUGAACCGCUUGUUAAAACCGAAUCAAACCACACCAUUUAUGUACAAACAAAAAACACAGUUUGUUGCUGUCUCAAAUAGUCCAAACCGAAUUUAAAUGGUUCGGUCUAUUUCAGCUUCAGUCUUCUGGAAUUCAAGGAAAUUUUGAUCUUCCAAGUCUUCAAUAUUUCAGAAGACGAUGAUCUCGAAGUUGAUAAAAACUUGCACGUCUUGAGAGCUCUAUAGAAGUUUGAAUCUUCAAUUCUUCAAAGCUUCAGUACUUCAGAGCUUCAUUUCUUCCUUCAACAAAAGAUCUCUCGAAUGAAUGACAAAGGUCUACUUAUAGAGAAAAUUUGUGGACUUUAUGUGGGCUUUGGACCCAUUUUCUUGUUGAGUUGUUGAGCUUGGACUUGGGCUUGGGCCCAUUUUCUUAGUGGGCUUAGGCCCCUUUGUUUGGCCUGAUUUUUUAUCAGGGGCUUGAAUUGGGUUGGAAAACUUGACUACCCAAUCCAAUCAAAUUAUAAUCAUCACAACUUGGGUGCGACGACGUGGUGUAAUUUCAUUGGUUGAAAUUUCUUGCUCAACAAUUACAUUUAUACUACUCCAUAAUACAUAUAUAUUAUGUGAUUUGUUUACAUAUAUACUACCUCAUUAUGUAAUAUUGCUUAGAGAUAUAUACAAUCAGACAUAUAUAGUGACAUACAGUAAUCGAAAAUAUUUUUCAAUUCAAUCUGUUCUUUAUUUUUUUGUUUAUCUUAUAGUAAUAUUAUGUUGUUAGUCAUAUAAACAUUUAUAUCUUAAGUAUGUUGUAACAACAUGUAGUAAACUAUAUAUUCAUUUAUAAUUAAUAUUUUAAAAUAUAUAUUUAUAUAGUAAAUACUACUAAAACAGUAAAAUACACAUUCUUAGUGUAUAUAUAUAUAUGCAGUGAGAAUAUCAUACAUACAUAUUCUCACUUCGUAUAAUUAUAUACCUUCUAUUUGUCAUAUAUUUUUUAAAUGAACAAUAUAUACUAUAAUAUACUCGUAAAUUAUAAUAUGUUUAUGAUGUGAUUUAAUAUAUAGAUACACCUUAUUUACAACAUAAAUAUUUAGUGACAUAUAGUUCUACAUAAUUUAUAGUUGAAUUUCAAUAUAUAUCUGUAACGACCCAACUUUUAUAGGUAAGUCGAGGUCAUUAAUUUUUAACAAAAGACUUUGGUUGAUACAAAAUGAAACGUAAGUCAAUUUAAAAACAAUUUAUGUAAGGCCUGAUUUUCAAAUAUUCAAGAAAACUUAAAAAUAACACUAUUUACAAAUAAAAGUUUGUAAACUAAGUUUUAGUACAUCUUAAACCUCAAAAGAAACCAUAAGCGGAAGCAAAAUGACACAUUUCCUAUGGCAAUCACGCUUCCUUCCUGCCCCUCGCCGGUUUGCCACCUUUAUUUCCUUUGCCUGAAAAUUAAACAUAAGAAGGGUGAGUAUAACAAUACUCAGUAAGAGACCCUCUACUGGUCUCGUCAGGGGAAAAUAAAUUGUUAAAGUUCUAUUGGGACACCCUGUACAGUCGCAGUCUUGUGAUCCCGUAGGAUACACAUCUCAGUCUAACGCCCCGAGGAACGUACAUAUCAGUCUAACGCCCGAGGGACGUACAUAUCAGUCUAGUGUUCUGCAGAAACACAUAUCAGUCAAAUGCUCCCGAAGGUGCAAAAUAAAUUGGUGAUCCGUGGGACACCUACAAGGUAAACAUCCCAAUACAAUCUAACAAUUUAUCCCUCAUUCCAUUCAAUCCAUCUUUCAGUUACUUCAAAACAUAAAGUUCUUUCUCUCAACGUCCUAACAGUCAACUUAACUCACUUUAGUCAUAUGUCUGUCAAUAAUAUACUAAUACGUCAGUCAAUCAAACUAUACAGUCAAUACACCCCUCAGUUCACCAGCACAAACCACAGUUCAGUAUAAUCCACAUCCAACCGAAACAAAUUCACUAGUUCACAUCCAAAUCUUUAUACAACACAAUCUAUUAAUAUCAUCAUGUACACAUAAGCAUAAUUUCAGUCAUUCACAUGUAUACUUUCGGCAAUCCACAUCAAUUCACACAACAAUGUAUAUAUAUAUGUUUCCAGUCAAAUACAACAUACACUAAACAUUUAGUCUGCAACCAAACAUGUACAUCUUAAUCAUCAUCCAUACAGUCCAACACAACUCAAAAACUUUAGGUGAGUCCAGUAGAAAGUCCCUUACCUCAAAGUUGGGGAAGCUCCUUAAUCAACUAACGUCCUCGAAACAAUCCUAAGCACAACAACACAAAAUUCAAUUACUUUCACGAUACAUAUCUCACUUACUUUCCUCAACGUAAGUUCCAACUCACCGAUAUAUUGGCAAACUGAACCCUCAACAAUUCACAAAUUGGUUGUGAAUUUAAGUGAUCCAAAGUUACCUUUCACACCUUCAAGAAUAAUUUAUCAAAUUAGUCAAUUAACCCAUCCGUAACGUUUGAACACCUUGAAAACAUCACAACCCAUACUUAAAUUGUUUUGUAAACGACUACAAUUUCAUAACUUCAAUCUUACCAACAAAACUUCGACAGAGACAGAGACGAUUAGGAUGGGGCACGGCGACGCAGAUCUGGGUAACGGCGCAGAGACAGAGGUCGCGCGGCGGUGCUGGGCAGAGGUCACGCGGCGGCUGACGGUUGCAGCGGCAGUUUUUGGAUCGAAGAGAAAAAAAGGGUGGCGGUUGGGUUCGACUUCGGUGAACGGAGACAGAAACAGACGAAACCGGUGGACGGCUCGAUCUAGCGGUGCAGAUCUGGACAGAGGGUCACACGGCGGUGGGCGGAAGGUCACGCGGCGGCCUUGCUUCGCAACAGAGACGGCGGCCGACGGUUGCAGCGGCGGUUUGGCUUGGCCUGACCGUCGACGUCGAACGAAAGAGGAAGAAAGAAAAGAAGGGGUGGUUGGACUGCGGCUGCGCACGAACGGAAAGAGAAUAGAUGGGGCGGCGGUUGCUGCGAACGGGAAGGAGAACGCACGGGGAGGAAGGAGAAGAGAGAAAAGAAAAGAAAAAGAAAAG